GUUUAAUGUUAGGGAUAAGUGUUUUACGAAAACUAGGAACAGUCUUGAGCCUUCAUUUUAAUCAGGAAGUUAAAUAUUUUAUUUCCCUGUAAGUUGGGACUACUCUGCAACAAUAGUGGACUGGUUUUAAUUUCUGACUCAGGAACCCUCCUGAGUUUGCAUGAUCUGGAGCAGGAGGGUGUAGAAAAGAAGCUGAUCACUGUCCUCAGCCCAGAGUUUUGUUGUUGCUGUGGAAUGGCUUUCACCUUGCACAUUUGAAAUCCACUAACUAGAUUGAAAACACAAAGCCUCUAUGGCAAAUAUAAAUUGACACAAUGCCACUGAAGCCAGUAGAGUCUGGUUAUUUUACACUGGGUGUUCUUUCAGAAGCAGACACAGCAGACAGGGAGAGAUGAAUUUCUAAAUUAAUAACAGCUUUGGAAAACUUCCGUAAAGAGACUGUGACACACUGCCAGCAUCAUUAUGCUUGGGUCCUACCUAAAGAGAAAAAAACCAUUGGGAUGCGAUGUGUCUUGGAAAGAAUGCAGAGUCUACUCUGAGGAGCUUGCAGUACUGAGAUCUACUCCCGCACUAGGGCAUGUUUAUUCAUCAAAUGGAGAAACAAUCCCAGUGUCAGAGAUAUUAUCUGCAUUAGUCAUCAGUAC